GCAAGUCGAGGGGUAACAGAUGAAGAGCUUGCUCAGAUUGCUGACGACCGGCGCACGGGUGCGUAACGCGUAUAGAAUCUACCUUUUACUUAGGGAUAGCCUUUAGAAAUGAAGAUUAAUACCUUAUAGUAUUAUUGAUUGGCAUCAAUUAAUAAUUAAAGAUUUAUUGGUAAAAGAUGACUAUGCGUUCUAUUAGCUAGAUGGAGAGGUAACGGCUCCCCAUGGCUACGAUAGAUAGGGGUCCUGAGAGGGAGAUC
rnacentral:rRNA from 1 species